GACGAACGCUGGCGGCGUGCUUAACACAUGCAAGUCGAACGGAAAGGCCCUGCUUUUGUGGGGUGCUCGAGUGGCGAACGGGUGAGUAACACGUGAGUAACCUGCCCUUGACUUUGGGAUAACUUCAGGAAACUGGGGCUAAUACCGGAUAGGAGCUCCUGCUGCAUGGUGGGGGUUGGAAAGUUUCGGCGGUUGGGGAUGGACUCGCGGCUUAUCAGCUUGUUGGUGGGGUAGUGGCUUACCAAGGCUUUGACGGGUAGCCGGCCUGAGAGGGUGACCGGCCAACUUGGGACUGGGAUACGGCCCAGAAUCCUACGGGAGGCAGGAGUGGGGAAUAUUGCACCAUGGGCGGAAGCCUGAUGCAGCAACGCCGCGUGCGGGAUGACGGCCUUCGGGUUGUAAACCGCUUUCGCCUGUGACGAAGCGUGAGUGACGGUAAUGGGUAAAGAAGCACCGGCUAACUACGUG
rnacentral:rRNA from 1 species